GCCCGGGGGGCCCGGAGCAGUUUCCAGUGGCCAGGGGUACGCGCGGCCGGAGGGGCGCCGGGGCCGUACUCACCGCGGCCGUUCUGGUUGGGCCGGUACACGCUGCCCACGCUGAGGCGGCCCUGCUGCGCGCCGUUCCGCUCCCCACCCGGCGGGGGCGUGUCGGAGCUGCGCACCGGCAGGAGCUCCUGCCUGCCUGGAUGAAGAGGAGGUCAAGACUUUGUCCCCCACUCCGCAAGAUACCCUCUCUGUUCCGGAGCGCUGCUGUGUUGUGAGCCACCUUAUGGAAAACCCAUGUGGCAGAGAACCGAGGGUGGUGGCUGGCCAACAGCAAGCCAGGAGCUGAGGCCCACAGUCCAACAACUGGUGAGGAACCACAUGCUGCCAGCAGCCAUGUGAGGGAACUUAGAAGCAAAUCCUUCCCCAGUUGAGCCUUCAGAUGACACCAGAGCCUUGGCUGACCCCUUACUUUUACCCUUGUAAGAGACUUUGAGCCAGAAGACUUGGCUAAACCACACCUGGAUUCCUGACCCACAGAAACUUGAAAUAAUAAAUGUGUUGUUUUAAGUCACUCGGUUUUGGGGUAAUUUGUUACAUAGCAGAGAUAACUAAUAUAG
rnacentral:lncRNA from 1 species